CGUGGGCACGUCCCGGANAUCGACCAAAGUUAUUUUAUCGCUAGAAAGAUCGGCCUCGCGUCUGAUUAGAUUAGUUGGCGGGUAACGGCCCACCAAGUCGACGAUCAGUAGCCGGACUGAGAGGUUGACCGGCCACAUUGGGACUGAGAUACGGCCCAGACUCCUACGGGAGGCAGCAGUGGGGAAUAUUGGGCAAUGGACGCAAGUCUGACCCAGCAACGCCGCGUGAAGGAAGAAGGCUUUCGGGUUGUAAACUUCUUUUGUCAGGGAAGAGCAGAAGACGGUACCUGACGAAUAAGCCACGGCUAACUACGUG
rnacentral:rRNA from 1 species